rnacentral:sRNA from 1 species
AAACACUUCUCUUCCCUCAUUUUCAUCCUCCUCAAUUUGCUGUAAAAUAUCUAUUCUGAAAGUCCCGUCGACUCGGUCUGCCAUGCCCUCAAAACUUUGGCUAGGAGUGACGACUUCCUCGCUCUCCGGGCCGCUAGUGCCUCCAUAUCUCCCGGAUUUUGAAGACGUGGAGGAGUUGGUCGAGACUUCGCUGCUAGCGGUAGGGUUUCGCUGAUGCACCCGCGAGACAGCAGGAGAGAUUUUGGUAUCGAUGUACACCACUUUUCUGUCACCUGAGUUGGUCGUGCUGUUUGUACUACGAUUCAUCAGACUGUUGCUUCGGUCUAGCUCCUUGACCUUUUCGAAGAAAUCCCGCUUGGUACUGGGCUUAACGGAGCCGGUCAACAUUUCUGAGAGACUAUCUCCCACCCUGCUACUGGAUGUAGAAGACGUAGAUUGUUUACGAAUAGGCUGGGUGUCAGAGGCGGAACGCUGACUCAUCGCAGACUGUGAUCUUUGAGGAGGCGAACUUGGGAUGAGAGAACGAGUUGGAGGAGAGGGCUGAAGAGGAGCGGUGUGUGAGUGGUGUAACUCUGGCCGAAUCUGUGGUGGAUUCUGCCAGGAGGUAGGCUGAAAAGACGGUUGAGAAGAGGCGGCAGUUUGCUGAAGUGCUGCUUGCUGCCUAGCAGAAGCAGCUAAUGCAACGCCUGCACGUACACCCCAAGCAGCUGCAGCAAAAGCUCUUCUUCCUACACCUGCCAUCCCAGACUCUCCUCCACUAGUAGUAUCCGGCAUUUGCAUGCUUUCCAUCGACGCACUCGAACUGUAGGAUCCCGCAGAGUUAGGAAAGAAGGGGUUGGUAGGAGAAUUUGUUUUCAACUGUGGAGAAAAGCCCGUUGGGUAAUUACUGGGAGAGCGGCUUGAUGGAGUAAGACUGUGGGGUGACGGUCGACGGGGAGGCCCAAAGUCUGUAGGCGAAGGAUGUGCGCUAGAAGGGCCAGCGAAUGGAGGUCGUAUAGAAACUGGUGAUGGUCCCUGUCUAGACGGUCUAUAUCGCGAUUGCGGCGAAGAUGAUUGAGGGAUGGGCAAUUGGGAAGGAUGAGAAGGAGUCCGUGGAACUGGAAGGCUCUCACAAACAUGGUCGCCAAGAGACGAAAGAGCAAUGUGUGCUGCACAUGUUGAGCAUGUAACAGUGGGAAGAACGACUGAGGUACGCUCAGAGUCUUGAGGCCUGCUAGGGGCAAGCAGAGACAUGAGUAUGUAGUAGUUUGAUGAGUUGAGUCGGAAGGUGUGGAUGGACAGACAGUAGACGAACUACUUGAAGGAUAGUAGAUGGUAGACAGGAGUAUGGCGGAUGAAAGGAGGG